GCCGCGUUGGCUCAGUGGGUGGUAGAGCGUGUCACUAGUAAUGACAAGGUCCAAGGUUCGAUCCCUUGACGUGGCA
rnacentral:tRNA from 5 species